GUAGAACUGCGUGACCUAACAUGAGGUUGAUAAGUUGCAAUUCAUUAGUAAAAAUCAUGUGUAAUGAGCUAUAUCCUUUGAUCAGAUAUUCAAAUCAAACCAUUAUGAGUUUGGACAUAUGGGACAUAGUGUUGAGCUUCAACCCCCCAAAACCAUGCAAUAAUCAUUGAAAGCAUGUAAGAAGAAUUUUGCAACAAUGUCAAUUCGAAUUGAUUUAAUUCAAUAUUCAGC
rnacentral:lncRNA from 1 species